rnacentral:rRNA from 1 species
AUUGAACGCUGGCGGAAUGCUUUACACAUGCAAGUCGAGCGGCAGCGCGGGGCAACCUGGCGGCGAGCGGCGAACGGGUGAGUAAUGCAUCGGAACAUGUCCAUGGAUGGGGGAUAGCCCGGCGAAAGCCGGAUUAAUACCGCAUGAGCCCGAGAGGGGAAAGUGGGGGACCGCAAGGCCUCACGUCGAUGGGUUGGCCGAUGCCCGAUUAGCUAGUUGGUGAGGUAAUGGCUCACCAAGGCGAUGAUCGGUAGCUGGGCUGAGAGGAUGAUCAGCCACACUGGGACUGAGACACGGCCCAGACUCCUACGGGAGGCAGCAGUGGGGAAUUUUGGACAAUGGGGGCAACCCUGAACCAGCCAUUCCGCGUGAGUGAAGAAGGCCUUCGGGUUGUAAAGCUCUUUUGUCCGGAGCGAAACGGGGCGCGUGAAUAUCGCGCUCUACUGACGGUACCGGAAGAAUAAGCACCGGCUAACUACGUGCCAGCAGCAGCCGCGG